rnacentral:rRNA from 1 species
GAUGAACGCUGGCGGCGUGCUUAACACAUGCAAGUCGAACGGUGAAGGUGGAGCUUGCUCUGCUGGAUCAGUGGCGAACGGGUGAGUAACACGUGAGCAAUCUGCCCCUGACUCUGGGAUAAGCGCUGGAAACGGCGUCUAAUACUGGAUACGAGCUGCGAAGGCAUCUUCAGCAGCUGGAAAGAAUUUCGGUCAGGGAUGAGCUCGCGGCCUAUCAGCUUGUUGGUGAGGUAAUGGCUCACCAAGGCGUCGACGGGUAGCCGGCCUGAGAGGGUGACCGGCCACACUGGGACUGAGACACAGCCCAGACUCCUACGGGAGGCAGCAGUGGGGAAUAUUGCACAAUGGGCGAAAGCCUGAUGCAGCAACGCCGCGUGAGGGACGACGGCCUUCGGGUUGUAAACCUCUUUUAGCAGGGAAGAAGCGAAAGUGACGGUACCUGCAGAAAAAGCGCCGGCUAACUACGUG